AAUGCUUCUUGCCUCCCUGGUGCAUUGUAGUUGCAUUGCAUUUGUUCUGAAUAUGCAGUGCAUCUGCAAAGCAACAGGGCGUCAAGACAAGACAACAA
rnacentral:pre_miRNA from 1 species